UUGAGAAUCUGCAAACGAAGGAAAACGCAGGGAAAACGUUUAGGCUACCGUUUCUAAUUCCAUAGUAGCAGGCGGACCAAAGGUACACGGUAGAGGAUCGAACGGAUAGUACCCACGUCAGACGUACCAACACUCUGUUGGGUGCAGACGAAACGAAUCGCUCCAGAACGAGUAACGACGGGAAAGGCCUUCGGAAGAGGGCCUUUCUUUUACUCUUGUUUCAUCUCUGCUAGUGGGCUGGAUGACGUUUGGUCCUGCCAGUGGAGCGAAUCGUAGUGACCCCGAGCACCUGCGAGUGCAGCUCAGACGGAGUUCCGUGCGGGCACUAUUCGAAUAGUCAUCCAGUGAUCGUUGCUGU